AUACGUAGGGUGCGAGCGUUGUCCGGAAUUACUGGGCGUAAAGAGCUCGUAGGUGGUUUGUCGCGUCGUCUGUGAAAUUCCGGGGCUUAACUCCGGGCGUGCAGGCGAUACGGGCAUAACUUGAGUACUGUAGGGGAGACUGGAAUUCCUGGUGUAGCGGUGAAGUGCGCAGAUAUCAGGAGGAACACCGGUGGCGAAGGCGGGUCUCUGGGCAGUAACUGACGCUGAGGAGCGAAAGCAUGGGUAGCGAACAGGAUUAGAUACCCUGGUAGUCCAUGCCGUAAACGGUGGGCGCUAGGUGUAGGGGUCUUCCACGACUUCUGUGCCGUAGCUAACGCAUUAAGCGCCCCGCCUGGGGAGUACGGCCGCAAGGCUAAAACUCAAAUGAAUUGACGGGG
rnacentral:rRNA from 1 species